AGGCCAGACUCCUACGGGAGGCAGCAGUGAGGAAUAUUGGUCAAUGGGCGCGAGCCUGAACCAGCCAAGUCGCGUGAGGGAAGACGGUCCUAUGGAUUGUAAACCUCUUUUGUCGGGGAGCAAAAGACGCCACGCGUGGCGUUCCGAGAGUACCCGAAGAAAAAGCAUCGGCUAACUCCGUGCCAGCAGCCGCGGUAAUACGGAGGAUGCGAGCGUUAUCCGGAUUUAUUGGGUUUAAAGGGUGCGCAGGGGGAAGAUAAGGUCAGGGUGAAAAUGGGGGGGCUCAACCUGUGCGGGCCGUUGAAACUGGUUUUCUUGAGUGAGCGAGGAGUAUGCGGAAUGCGUGGUGUAGCGGUGAAAUGCAUAGAUAUCACGCAGAACUCCGAUUGCGAAGGCAGCAUACCGGCGCGCAACUGACGCUAAUGCACGAAAGCGUGGGUAUCGAACAGGAUUAGAUACCCGCGUA
rnacentral:rRNA from 1 species